rnacentral:tRNA from 1 species
GAGGGUAUAGCUCAGUGGUGGAGUGUGAGCUUAGCAUGCACAGGGUCCUAGGUUCAUUCCCCAGCACCUCCA